rnacentral:miRNA from 10 species
CUUGCCGGAAAGGCUCGAGAAG